AUUUCUGGAACAAACCCCGGGCAAUACGUUUUGUUUGGGGUUCCAAAUCCCCUGGGAUGUUGGCCCGCUUGGCCAUAAAGGCUUUACAAUGUGGCCCUUGGGUAAAAAAGGUUGGGCACCCCUGCACUAGAAUGUAAAAUCUCUGAUCUGUAUGCACAAGUAAGAAUAGUAUUAAAUGUUUUUACACAUUACAUAAAUUCAAAGUACAUAUCAAAUAUAAGCCUGUAAUGUAAUUAAUGAUCUUGUACGUUUUUUAACCCUUUUUGGAUGACGAAAAUUUGAGGAUUUUUAGGUACACUUCUUUUAGGAACGCAUUUUCUAAGAUGACAAAAUAUUGGAAUACUGCAGAAGACGACUGUGAAAAACGUAAAAGUUUUCUAAAUAAAUCAUAAGAAGAUAACUAUGUAUUGUAAAUACACUAUUUGUUAUCCAAUUAUACAGAAUUAAACCGUGUAUAACAUGGUCACAUUUAUUAGUAAAUUUUUCAGCAGAAAAGUUUGAAUAUUAUACAUUUACUUCAUUUUUUAAAAGUUGACCAUCAGUAUACUAUUAUAACAAAAAACCAUUUAUUGUUGAAACUAACAUUAUUCUACUCAUUACAUAGUUUUCUAUUCCAGUACAAAAUUUUAUCAGCAUUGGUUUGAAAAAAUAAUGAUUUUAUUUUAAAAAUUACUUUCUACGCACACUGUUGACUGACAAUAAAAAUAGACAGGAUUUAUAUUGUACUGCCAACAUAAGUUCUGAAGUACUUUUGUGAGGUUUAUAAAAUAUGCCUUCAUACAACAAAUUAUUUUUAUUGUGGUAUUUUCGUUAUUACUUGAGUAUUACACAAAAGUUCAGUAUGUGGGCAUAUAUAUACGCAUGUCGUCCUCAGCAAGUUAUGUGUGGGCAGAUAUAUACACAGUUGUACUAAAAUGGUUAAUUUCAAAACAUGUUUCCCAGAGCUUUAGUUUGCACCAAAGUGUCAAUUCCUAGUAAGUUACAGACCGUAGAAGAAUUUUUCCAUCUUUAUUGGUCCGCCUUUUGUAUGUUCAAGGGUUCAGGAAAAGUUUACCAAUCCAUGUCAACUACUUCACUAACACUUUGUGUUUAUUGCAAAAUCUAUAGACAUUUAAUCACUCAGAUGUUUUUUUUUUUUUUUUAAUUAUCUGACAUAAAAAAAUCUUGUUCGUGUUCUUAUGUUUUUGAUCUUAGUAGUGACAGAAAAAAGAGCAUUAUAAAUACCAUGCCCAUAGUUAAUCCUGUGUUCAGGCCUUUGCAUACGUAAAGUAUCAUGUAUUUUUUUUAUUGGUAUAAAAUUAAACAUUCUCACUUUUGCCCAAUUGUAAUAUUUUUGAUUUCAUAUUUUCUAGAAAUUCUUCUUUGAAAUAAAAAAUUCAAACAAUUUGUGCCAAUUUCUUUUAGUUGUAAAAAGUUGGCAUUAUUUGGUUUAGUUUCAUCAUUAACAAUAUGCUUGUUCUUGUUGGAUUUCUUUCUAUAUUACAAAAAUAUUAAUUUAUCUUCUUCAGUUAAAUUUGCUGGUACACAUUAAUUUUGCUUCCUACCAUUAUGAUUAGUUGUCUAAGCUAUGCCUUAAUAUUUUAAUGUGUUACAAUUUGACUAUUAUCAUAUUCAAUGUAAAAAAUAAACUCACAUCUAAAGAAAGUAAAUUUACAUAUUGAAAUCAAAGUCGGGACCCACCUUAAAAUAUAAUUAUGUACGAAUUUGUAUCUAUGUAAUAAAUAUAAAAAUUUAAUUUAGGUUGAAUUGGAACAGAAAAGAAGAGUGGAAGUGGUAGAAAAAGGAAUCCAAAAGGAGAUCAGGUCUUGGAGAGGAUGUCCUAGAUCAGUUAAAAUCAGCUUGUGAAUUUAUGGGCUGCCCAUAUUGUAUUUCGUAAACCAAUAUCAAACAAGGUUGUAUUAAAUGUCUGCAAUAUUUUAAACUUAAUCGUGUAUAUUUUGUAUAAUGUAUUUACACUAAUAGCUUAAUAAUGAACUACCGACCACGGUUUUUGAUACUAUAAUUGUAUACAUGUUUGUCAAGAAGAUUAAUACCUUUUUUACCAGAUGCAUGUUGUUGAGAUCAUUUGAUAUUUUUAUUGGUUGUAUUCCGUAGUAAUAAUCGCAUAAGUGCUAAUGGUAAAGGUGAUAUUCGUAUUAUUCUAAUCUAAAAUAGUCAUCUUCAAUGUUCUUUUAGCAUAAUUUUAGUCUUUCAGUAGAUAUUUCAGUACUAACGACUGGAAAGUACAAGGCUAUUUUAGGCCGAUAUUUUGUUACCAUAUAAUAGUUUUUAACUGCUUUGCUUUUAACUUUUGUCAAAUAAGUACCAUAGCAGUUGUGUAAUUUUUAUAAGCAACUUCAGAAUAUGAAUAUAUUUUAUGAGCUUUUUGAUGUAGCAUUUUUAUGGAAAGUCCAUGUUUUGUAAACACAUAUCAACUAAGCCUGUCCAAUUAAAACAAUUUACGAAU